rnacentral:rRNA from 1 species
UACGUAGGGCGCAAGCGUUGUCCGGAAUUAUUGGGCGUAAAGAGCUCGUAGGCGGUUUGUCGCGUCUGCUGUGAAAACCUGAGGCUCAACCUCGGGCUUGCAGUGGGUACGGGCAGACUAGAGUGCGGUAGGGGUGACUGGAAUUCCUGGUGUAGCGGUGGAAUGCGCAGAUAUCAGGAGGAACACCGAUGACGAAGGCAGGUCACUGGGCCGCAA